rnacentral:rRNA from 1 species
UGGGGAAUAUUGCACAAUGGGCGGAAGCCUGAUGCAGCAACGCCGCGUGCGGGAUGACGGCCUUCGGGUUGUAAACCGCUUUCGCCUGUGACGAAGCGUGAGUGACGGUAAUGGGUAAAGAAGCACCGGCUAACUACGUGCCAGCAGCCGCGGUGAUACGUAGGGGGCGAGCGUUGUCCGGAUUUAUUGGGCGUAAAGGGCUCGUAGGUGGUUGAUCGCGUCGGAAGUGUAAUCUUGGGGCUUAACCCUGAGCGUGCUUUCGAUACGGGUUGACUUGAGGAAGGUAGGGGAGAAUGGAAUUCCUGGUGGAGCGGUGGAAUGCGCAGAUAUCAGGAGGAACACCAGUGGCGAAGGCGGUUCUCUGGGCCUUUCCUGACGCUGAGGAGCGAAAGCGUGGGGAGCGAACA